rnacentral:rRNA from 1 species
AGUGAACGCUGGCGGUAGGCCUAACACAUGCAAGUCGAACGGCAGCACAGUAAGAGCUUGCUCUUACGGGUGGCGAGUGGCGGACGGGUGAGGAAUACAUCGGAAUCUACUUUUUCGUGGGGGAUAACGUAGGGAAACUUACGCUAAUACCGCAUACGACCUACGGGUGAAAGCAGGGGAUCUUCGGACCUUGCGCGAUUGAAUGAGCCGAUGUCGGAUUAGCUAGUUGGCGGGGUAAAGGCCCACCAAGGCGACGAUCCGUAGCUGGUCUGAGAGGAUGAUCGGCCACACUGGAACUGAGACACGGUCCAGACUCCUACGGGAGGCAGCAGUGGGGAAUAUGGGACAAUGGGCGAAAGCCUGAUCCAGCCAUACCGCGUGGGUGAAGAAGGCCUUCGGGUUGUAAAGCCCUUUUGUUGGGAAAGAAAAGCAGCAGGUUAAUACCCCGCUGUUCUGACGGUACCCAAAGAAUAAGCACCGGCUAACUUC